UGGUUUCAGAAAAUUAGUCUAUGAGCCUUCUAAAAUCACGAUUUGGCCUCAAUUUAUUUAUCGUCUCAACGAUAAGGAAUUAUUUGUGAAUUUCUUCAAAUUAAUGUCCUUUACGCAAGGGAUUUUUACCAAUUUUUGAUGAAAUGGCCAAAAAGUGAUUAUUAGAUGCUCAUAUUCCAAAGAUUACUCUAUGAAAAUGAUCGGAUCCUACCUUACCUUGUGCACUACCCCUUUGGAUGGU
rnacentral:lncRNA from 1 species